rnacentral:rRNA from 1 species
CCUACGGGGGGCAGCAGUAGGGAAUUUUCCGCAAUGGGCGAAAGCCUGACGGAGCAAUACCGCGUGAGGGAUGACGGCCUAUGGGUUGUAAACCUCUUUUUUCAGGGAGGAAUAAAUGACGUGUACCUGAAGAAUAAGCAUCGGCUAACUCCGUGCCAGCAGCCGCGGUAAGACGGAGGAUGCAAGUGUUAUCCGGAAUCACUGGGCGUAAAGCGUCUGUAGGUGGUCCAAUAAGUCAACUGUUAAAUCUUGAGGCUCAACCUCAAAACCGCAGUCGAAACUAUUAGACUAGAGUAUAGUAGGGGUAAAGGGAAUUUCCAGUGGAGCGGUGAAAUGCGUAGAUAUUGGAAGGAACACCGAUGGCGAAGGCACUUUACUGGGCUAUUACUAACACUCAGAGACGAAAGCUAGGGUAGCAAAUGGGAUUAGAUACCCUUGUAGUC